rnacentral:rRNA from 1 species
AGCAGCCGCGGUAAUUCCAGCUCCAAUAGCGUAUAUUAAAGUUGUUGCAGUUAAAAAGCUCGUAGUUGAAUUUCGGGAUUGACGUGAUGGUCGUGCCUUACGGGGUAUGAACUGUCGCAGUUGAUUUCUCACCUUCUGGAGAAGCUCGAUGUCCUUAAUUGGGUGUCUUGCGGAACCAGGACCUUUACCUUGAAAAAAUUAGAGUGUUUAAAGCAGGCAUUUUGCUCGAAUACAUUAGCAUGGAAUAAUAGAAUAGGACGGCAUGGUUCUAUUUUGUUGGUUUCUAGGAUCACCGUAAUGAUUAAUAGGGAUAGUUGGGGGCAUUAGUAUUCAAUUGUCAGAGGUGAAAUUCUUGGAUUUAUUGAAGACUAACUACUGCGAAAGCAUUUGCCAAGGAUGUUUUCAUUAAUCAAGAACGAAAGUUAGGGGAUCGAAGACGAUCAGAUAC